CGAUUCGAUGUGUUUUAAGCAGAAAACAAUGUUUUGUUGUAAGUACGGAAUUCAUAACUUUUGCUCAAAAGACUAUUCCGCAGUGGCUCUUUCGCUGUCUAUUCCGUAUCAACUUAUUCUAUAUUUCAUAUGUUGGGCCGAAAGCCAAUUCUUUGAGGAAGAUAGCGGGAAUUAAUUUUCAAUAGAAGUUUUAGAGUUUUCUGCUUACCAACUCCCGGUUGUUCAAAAU
rnacentral:lncRNA from 1 species